rnacentral:rRNA from 1 species
UACGUAGGGGGCAAGCGUUGUCCGGAUUUAUUGGGCGUAAAGAGCUCGUAGGUGGUUCGGUAAGUCGGAUGUGAAAUCUCCAGGCUCAACCUGGAGGGGUCAUUCGAUACUGCCGUGACUAGAGUUCGGUAGGGGAGUGUGGAAUUCCUGGUGGAGCGGUGAAAUGCGCAGAUAUCAGGAGGAACACCGGUGGCGAAGGCGGCUUUCUGGACAGUAACUGACGCUGAGGCGCGAAAGCUAGGGGAGCAAACAGG